GAGCCGCCGCGGUAAUACGUAGGGGGCAAGCGUUGUUCGGAAUUAAAGGGCGUAAAGCGCGCGCAGGCGGUUCCUUAAGUCUGAUGUCUAAGGCCACAGCUCAACUGUGGAGGGCCAUUGGAAACUGGGGAACUUGAGGACAGAAGAGGAGAGCGGAAUUCCACGUGUAGCGGUGAAAUGCGUAGAUAUGUGGAGGAACACCAGUGGCGAAGGCGGCUCUCUGGUCUGUAACUGACGCUGAGGCGCGAAAGCAUGGGUAGCGAACAGGAUUAGAUACCCGCGUAGUCC
rnacentral:rRNA from 1 species